rnacentral:rRNA from 1 species
UACAGAGGGUGCGAGCGUUAAUCGGAAUUACUGGGCGUAAAGCGCGCGUAGGCGGCUUUGCAAGUCGGGUGUGAAAUCCCCAGGCUUAACCUGGGAACUGCAUUCGAGACUGCAUUGCUAGAGUAUGGGGAGAGGGAAGUGGAAUUUCCGGUGUAGCGGUGAAAUGCGUAGAUAUCGGAAGGAACAUCAGUGGCGAAAGCGACUCCUGGACCAA